ACUUGUGGAAGUGAAACUCGACACCAGCUGCAUGAAGGACAGGAAGCACGACAGUCUUUGAGUAUACUGUGGAGGUACGUAGGGGAGGGGGGCAUCUACAGUCAGAUGCAGAGCUUACUGAGGUUUUGUUGUCAUUACCCUUAAUUACAGAAUACGAGGUACUGGAUUUUUGUUCUUUCCAUAAACCACCAAGUUGAAUAUUUCAUUAAACCCAUCCUUAUAAUUGACUCAAUGAAAAUACGCUAAGCUUGCUUCUUGUUUUUUUCCCCUAAAAGAUUGCAUCAACUGCUUGUCAUAAAAAAUAAUAAAUUCCUUCCUGUUUUUUACCCUGUUGCUGUCUUCAGAAAAAUAAAACCCUUUUUAGAAAUGCCCCGCCAGAAGCAGAAAGUAAUCAGUCAUCUGUGAGAGCAUUCCCAUAACUUUUAUAUCCAACUGCAACAGGAACACUGAACCCCCCAUGCUGACCCAUAACAGGCCAUUCAACAAGCAAAUACAAACUUUCACAUACAGAAAAAAGGUACGUUUUUAACAUUUCACAAUCAGAUGCAUCCAGCAACAGAAAGGAAGAACACUUGGGGUUGAACUCAACAGUCGUUUUGAUUAUUUACAGUUGGAAUUUGUGCCAAUUUCUAAACAAAAAACGCAGGCAGACAUGGAAAACAAAAAGACAAAUUCCAUCAAAAGGGGUUCAAUUGCAACACAACAUUUCUCAUAAAAGGUGCAUGAACCGCUGGUUCUUCUCGUUAAGGUGCAAAAUCAUUUCAAACUCUAAAAUAAAACUGUCAGCCAUUUCCAAUUUCCAUCGUAAAGAGGUGGCGCAUUAGAUACAUGAAUAAACUACAGACUGAAAAGACACCGCCGCGCAAUACAGGCUCUCCUUCUUACCCAAAUAACUGUUUCUGCACACGUGGAUCGUACCAUACAACCAUUUGCUUCAAGCAUUGUUGCCUCCUCAUGACAUCACUGUACCCACCAGGCUUCUGCUCACGGAUUUGAAUUAAAAGGCACAUACCUAUUCUCUGUAAUUAUUCCCUGCCACUUUUGCAGUUGUCAGCACUUCUUUUUCCUUUUCAAAAAUAUCAAUACUGGCCGAGUUGUCACAUUAAUAUAACCUUUAUUUUUCUUCAGGUAAUCGUCAAAAUUGUGGGCUAAAGUUUUAUCGAAGGAGGCAAACGUUUCAGGUUCACAACUUAACUAGAAAUUGUUCUCUUAGACAACAGUCAAGCCAGCUGAAUCAGUCUUAUUAUUCCUUUUAAGCUCAUGAAAAGAAGAUGAAAUGCUUCAUAUUUAGCAGUUCAACUGCUCAUUCCAUCUCUCUGCACUGUCAAAUAAAGAUAAAAAUAAAUGACUAUGUGUCUUAUGAUAAGACUGCUUUAUUAGACUCCUUUUUUAUGCAAAAAUAGCACUUUCCUUAUUUGACAAGACCUCUUUCAAUUAAACAUGAAGAUCGAGAUUUUAAAACAAUCCCUCUCACUCUCUUUUGCUCACGCCGCUCUAGGCAUGAGCACUUGUAUAAAUAUAGUUUGUCUUCUAAAAAUAUGACCAUAUUUUAUAACCUUUUGCCCUUUAAAUUCUCUUUACAAUCAUCUCAGUAAAAAGCGUUCACCUUCUCUCUGGAUCACGUAUUCAGUUCAUAGACAGAGAAACAUGCUACAAUAUUAGGAAACAGAAGAAGAGGAAGAUGACAUUUCUAUAAGACACUGCACAGUGAAACACUCAGUGAGAUUCUCUAGGUCUCGAGAAAUGUGAUGUGGCGAAGAACAGUUGCAGGGUGAUGAUUGGAAGGAGCAGGGGGAGGAAAAACAGGUAGUGUUAAAUGAUAUUAUUGGUUCUAUUUCAUUUUUUAGUUCCUUCUCCUAGGCUGGAAUAUGGAGUGGUCUACUCCGAACCUGUCCUUACAGCCAUCCUUGCACCUCUGCAAUAGUAACCCACCAAUCACCUUCAUUUCAGGGAAUGUAUUUAAUAUUAAACAGUGGAUGCGCAUACACACCUUAAAAAGACAAGGGGAGGCAGAGGACAGUUUGGAGAAAAGCCUCUCACUCUCUCCCUUUCCUCAACUACCUUCAUUGUACAGUCUUAAAGCAAAUAAGUGUUCAUGUCCAGGUUACAUCGGGGUCACAGCUGUUGACCCCAGCAGUGUAGUAUAGACAGUCAGAUGUGAGAGAUCAGCGUGGGCCAAAGAGUGAGGAGGCAAGCAAAACUGGGGAAUACUGGUAUGUGUGUCACCAAAUCUCAACUAUCCCCAGACACAAAGUUCAAAAUAAUGCUCCUCCUUCCCCACCUACACCUGGUAGCGAUUCACCUGAAGAGCCACCUGACUCCAUGCCGGCCCCGCCAGCAGCCUCCAGGGAGGUUGGGUCGAAGGCUGGCUCCGCCCCCAAGGUGUCGUCCUCCAUCUUGACCCCGUCGGGAAGGAAAGCAGUGUAGGCGUCGCUCUCGGCCAUCAGUAGUUUCAGCUUGGGGAUCCAGCUCUUACGCACCACGCGGCGGGCGUUGGUGCACAUGUCCGCUGCGAUGGCAUUCAUCUCGCUCUCUUUGAAGCUGGUGGCAAAGUUCUGGCAAUAAACUGUCAUGGAAAAGGCAAAUACCCUCGGACCGAACAACACUCACAUUUGACCGCGUGCAGAACUCUGUUGUCCAGCGGCUUGCGGCUUGGGUCGUUGGUGGAUGAGCGGAUGCCGGUUCCACAGCUGUUAGCCAGAGUGUUCCUGAUACAUCAAAGAGAGGAACACACAACAGAGGAAAACAACAAUAAGUUGUUACAUCCUUCCAAUCCAGGCCGUGGCUGAUCUCUCCGACUUCAGAUUGUGUGGUUCAUACACGGGUCUCCUUCCUCGUACAGUUUGGGAUGACAGCGGUUGCCUAUCUGAGCGACGAGUUCUGCGGGCAGACAUGUGAGGUCUCUGCCUCGCAUCCGACCCCGUGUCUCUGUGUGGUCUGGUAGAGCCUCAACACGCUCACCAGCUGCUGGAGAGAAACAGGUUUUCAGAGUUAGAAUAUAACCAUAACACACAAAAAAAUUAAAGAUGGUGCACGGUGACAUCUGAACACCAGACACUCAUUCAUUACAUUUCUCUGCCUUUAGUUAUGAGAUAUUAUAAGACAUGUUCAACACAACAUGUCUUUAAGUGACACAUACUGAUCCGCCUCAUGUCCUUUACCUGCGGCGCCCAUGUUGAGCAUGCUGUACAUGGUGUACAUGUUGCAGAUUUGCCUAUACUGCUCUUCAGCACAUUCAUCCGUCGGCUCUUCCUCUUCUUCAUCGUCGUGGUAGCUGAUGGGGGAGUCGCUGGCGUAGGUGCUGAGGGUGCCGGGACUGGCGCCCUCUGACACGCCGAGGCCUGCUGCGUAGUUGCCAUUGGUGCCAGUGCCGGCCACCAUGCCGGCCAGGCUGGUUGCGUUGGCCCCCACACCCAUAGCCAGUCCAAGGGCUCCGGGGCUCUGAAUGGCACUACCCCGCAAUGCCUCCUGGGAAUAACGGGCUGCUUUCCUAGCCCCGCCUCCUCCCCCUGAGCCUACCCCGCUGCUGCCGCCCUCCCACAACCGCUUGGCCACAGGGGUGCAGACCACAGAGUAAGGGGUGGCAGCUUCCGGCUGGCUGGCUGGCUGCUCCGUCUUCACCCGGGACACCAGAGGCAGUGGCGUCAGGCAGGAGGCAGGCCGGCCUGCACUGUUACUGGUCUGCGUCACAGGGCUCUGAGGCUCAGAGGGGGGGGCCUCCUCAGCGUGAAGACCCUGGGAGUCGCAGCUCGGGGAGGAGACCUAGGAAUGAAUGUAAACAUAUUCACUCUUGAGUAAAUAUCUUCACACAAGUUGAUGUCCAAUAUAUGUUGGAUGAUCAGUCUGUCUUUACAACAGCUGGGCAUCUCAAUGAUCAUUGGCCAGUUUCUAAACUUUUUCCAAAUUUGGAGGAUUAAUCAGGGUAAACCGUAAGGGAUUCCAAAUAGUUAAGUAACCCCUUUCCCUAUCGAAACAAGUGUUUCAGAAAUAAGGCUUGAUGUGGUUUUGAACAUAAUAUGGCUUUUAAUCACGGCAGCGUUUAGCUGAAUAUCUCCGUUAGAAAUUUCUCUCUUCAGACAGAGAGCUGCAUGCUCUCCAAAGGGGCGUGGCCAGCUUCAGCUCAAGUCAAAUUUAAAGCGACAGUCACAGCCUCAGCACUUCAGGAACAGGGCUGAAAUAGAGGGGGAUGAGGCAUGGCUACAAUGGGUGAUCUGUUUGGUAUUUUGAGCCAAACACUUCACAGACAUGUUUUGUAGAUAUUGCCCUACAAUAUGUUGUUCCACUAUAACAUAAUAGGAGACCUUUAUGUUGCGUUAGUGCAUACAUAUUGCUGCUAAAUGUCUAUUUUUUCUCAUUACGAACACAACAUGUUUCAGAAUUGUCCCAAUUGGAAUGGAGACGACACCUUGAUCACAAAUAACAACAAUUGUAAU